rnacentral:lncRNA from 1 species
GGUGGGCCAAGAUGACUGGGACUGAAGGGCCCAUUUCCAAGAGGGCUCACUCACAUGGCUGGCAAGUUGUGCCAGCUGUAGACUGGUCACCCAGCCUAGGCUGAGGGCCAGGGGACCCCUGCUUGGCUGGGUUCCAAAAGUGAGUGUCCCAAGAGACAAGAAGUAGAAGCUGAUGGUUUUUUAUGGUCUGAGCCCUAAGAAACUGGCAGUGUCACUUUUGUCCUAGUUUAUUGGUCAAGCAGGAACUUGACCCACCUAGCUCAGAUU